CUACGGGUCGCUGCAGUGAGGAAUAUUGCACAAUGGAGGAAACUCUGAUGCAGCAACGCCGCGUGGAGGAUGACGCAUUUCGGUGUGUAAACUCCUUUUAUAUGUCAAGAACAUGACGGUAGCAUAUGAAUAAGCACCGGCUAACUCCGUGCCAGCAGCCGCGGUAAUACGGAGGGUGCAAGCGUUACUCGGAAUCACUGGGCGUAAAGGACGCGUAGGCGGGAUAUCAAGUCAGGUGUGAAAUCCUACAGCUUAACUGUAGAACUGCACUUGAAACUGGUAACCUAGAGUAUGGGAGGGGGAGAUGGAAUUAGUGGUGUAGGGGUAAAAUCCGUAGAUAUCACUAGGAAUACCUAAAGCGAAGGCGAUCUCCUGGAACAUAACUGACGCUAAGGCGUGAAAGCGUGGGGAGCAAACAGGAUUAGAUACCCUUGUAGUC
rnacentral:rRNA from 1 species